rnacentral:rRNA from 1 species
AUGCUUUACGGCUUAGAACCGGGACUUCAACGACGUUUCGAACGUCAUGGAGCAUAUGAGAUGUUCCAGGAGUUGAAGUUAACAUUUCAGGCAAAUGCCCGGAUUGAGAGAUAUGAAGUCUCCAAUAAGUUCUAUAGCUGCAAGAUGGAGGAGAAUAGUUCUGUCUGUGAGCAUAUACUCAAAAUGUCUGGGUAUCAUAAUCACUUGACUCAGCUGGGAGUUAAUCUUCCGGUUGAUAGUGUCAUUGACAGAGUUCUUCAAUCACUGCCACCAAGCUACAAAAGCUUCGUGAUGAACUAUAACAUGCAAGGGAUGGAUAAGAUGAUUCCCGAGCUCUUCGCAAUGCUAAAGGCUGCGGAGGUAGAAAUCAAGAAGGAGCAUCAAGUGUUGAUGUUCAACAAGACCACCAGUUUCAAGAAAAAGGGUAAAGGGAAGAAGGGGAACUUCAAGAAGAACGGCAAGCAAGUUGCUGCUCAAGUGAAGAAGCCCAAGUCUGGACCUAAGCCUAAGACUGAGUGCUUCUAA